UACGUAGGGGGCGAGCGUUUGUUCGGAAUUAUUGGGCGUAAAGGGCGCGUAGGCGGUCGGAUAAGUCUUGUGUGAAAUCUUCGGGCUCAACUCGAAGUCUGCACAGGAAACUAUCUGGCUUGAGUGUGGGAGAGGUGAGUGGAAUUCCUGGUGUAGCGGUGAAAUGCGUAGAGAUCGGAAGGAACACCAGUGGCGAAGGCGGCUACCUGGCCUGAUACUGACACUGAGGCACGAAAGCGUGGGGAGCAAACAGG
rnacentral:rRNA from 1 species